AACUUUCUCCCGCAGCUGUUCUGU
rnacentral:miRNA from 1 species